GAGAUGGAAACUGAGAAUUCCCUCUGUAAGGCGGUGUGUGUGAAUGCAGACAUGGGCCUGUGAGGUUCACGAGGAGAUGGAAACUGAGAAUUCCCUCUGUAAGGCGGUGUGUGUGAAUGCAGACAUGGGUCUGUGAGGUUCACGAGGAGAUGGAAACUGAGAAUUCCGUCUGUAAGGCGGUGUGUGUGUACGCAGACAUGGGCCUGUGAGGUUCACGAGGUGGACUGUGAUAGACACUGACACCCACCUUGGAUCCUCCUUCAAAACUCAUUGCCCAGCUGUGAAGAGUGUGGCUGGCUAAAAAGCUCCAUGAGCUCCUUUCGGAUCUGCGCUGCUGAGCUACGGUCACACUCUUUUCAGGGCACCUCGGUCAAUGGCAGAGCCAUGCGGAGGGAGCUGAGGUCAUGCUUUCACCAGGAAGGCCACCAGUGAUCAAUGACGUCAAAAGGCGGUGGCACAGAGCCUUUCUGUUUCUGCCCAACGCCGGACACCCUGGUUCAGCAAAAGUUAUGAUUUAAAUAUGCUUCCAAGCUUUUUCUUUCCUCCCACAACCCUUUUUUUUUUUUUUGAGACGGAGUCUUGCUUUGUCACCCAGGCUGGAGUGCACUGGCAUGAUCUUGGCUCACUGCAACCUCUGCCUCCCAGGUUCAAGGAAUCCUUGUGCCUCAGCCCCCUGAGUAGCUGGGAUUACAGGCAUGCACCACCAUACCUGGAUAAUUUUUGUAUUUUCAGUAGAGUCGGGAUAUCACCAUGUUGGCCAGGCUGGUCUUGAACUCCUGACCUCAAGUGAUCCACCCGCCUCAGCCUCCCAAAGUGCUGGGAUUACAGGUGUGAGCCACUGAACCUGGCCAAGCUUUUUCUUACUGCAGAGUGGGAGUAGCAUCCUCUCCAGCCUUCUGCAUGUGAGGUACAGGCCACUUUGCUCUGGAGCUCCCUGCUAGGCUGGAAGACACUUGGCCAGGUCUGCAUCAUGGUGUGACCCUCCCCUUGCCCAAUUGCCUUUUGCAAGUAUGACCCCCCAGUCCAAACAUUGCUACUGUCUUCUCCAGGAGGAACUCAACUGACACACACUGUGUGGAAAACCUAGUUAAAAUUAUGGCUCAUUUGCCCGGAAAAAACCAACCUUGCCUGGACGUCCCAAAAUCCUGAGUACAAGUUUAAGGUAUUCAUGGAUGCCCUGAAGCCCAGGGACCCCACCUGAAGAGCCCCGGGAUUCGACUCUCCACCUGCACUUCAUACUCCCGUGGGGGAUGUGCUGUUGAUACUGACAGGCGUUAUAGCUCUAGCAAGGGGCAAUGGUUGCAAUCUGGGCAGGACAACCAUGAGAGGCGGUGCAGUGAUGCACUCCCCGGGUGGCGGGCAGGCGUUCUGUCUCGUCCCUCCUCAUUGAACUUGGCAGUGAACCUUCAUAAGGAGAAGAUAACAAAUUCCCCCGGGACCUUUGGGUACUGUGGGAGAUGCCUAUGGUCCUGAGAAGUAGGUGCGCUGACAAUGGAACAGAGAACAGCUGGCAUCUUAGGCUAAAUGAUGAGUGGAAAGAGUUUCGGCAGUUUUCAGGUUUCUUCCUAGAUUGUCCAACUCAAUCAGGGCAAGGGAGGGAGCAGAAAGUCCAGAAAGUUAUGUUCAUGAAGAAAGAGUGUGCAUUUGUAGAGAGUCGUUCACGAGUUUGAGCUCUCAGAGGAGCCGGUGGAGUGAAGGCAUUGGCUGGGCUACUGUAGCAGGGAAAAGGGCACUUCAAGAUCCUAAGGUCGAGGAUUUAGGAAAUUGAAUCAAUGAACUCCUCACUAUCUGUUUCUAUCUCACCUUCUACCAUAAAGAAUGAUGAUAGCCGACACAAGAAAAAAUGUGUCCCUGCCACGUAAAAUGUGUUACAAUUUGGAGGCAGAGGCCGAGGGUGGAAAGGCUGAGGAGGCCACGAAGAAGUUGUGUUUGGGACCUGAGGGAGGGGCAGACGGAAGAGGUCAUUGUGCAAAGACUGCGUGUUCUCAGCACCAGUGAUUCACCUUUGGUGUGUUGGAUAUAGCAUCUUUGGGAAGCAACUCAGUGAUUCUCAGGAUGAAUAGGGCUUUCAAACCAAAUCAGUGUUUCAGAAGCAGCACGUGGUUGUGACACCAGUUCAGAAAAAUAUGCAUAAGCUGAAAAGCGGAAGUCCCUUUCACAACGCCAAGGCUUUGCCCUAAAUUCAGUUCCCGGGAAAUAGGUACUGUUAGCAGGGAUGUGUCUUCUGGAUUUUCAGUGCAUUCCUCAUUCUGGGAAGGGAUGGGUGCAGGGUGCUUCUGCGGGGAGGACCACUCACCCAUCCCUGCACCCACAGGGCCACCUGCUCCCUCUCAAGCUGCCUCUGGGAGCAGAUGCUGGCUCCUCCCCAUCAGAGUGGGGAGCUUGGAGUACAACCACCAGCUUCCUUCUGUUGGUAAGAGUUCCAUGACAUCCUUGAGUUCUAAGGACAACUGGAUUGGCUGAUAGUUUUAUCACUCUGAAGCUCAGACAUGGAUGGAAAGUUGGGAGGUGAGCUCUCCUUUUUCCUCAGUGGGUAGAGGGGGUCCUGCCCAUUCCCGGAGCUAUGCUCCAGCUUCUGCCUGCAGGCCUGAGGCUGGCCCCAUCUCUGCCAAUAUCCACUGCCCUGUUUUGACUUGCAGCAGAGACGCUCAUUUCGUCCUUUUGCCUGACCACAAAGAUUUGUCUGCUGCAGCUUUCUUGUGACUGAUGCUUUUUGCUUCACUGUGGAAAAAUCCCAGGAGCCUCACAGAUCAAGGGCCUGAAGGGAAUUGUGUGGGAGGCUUCUGACAAUUUGUGUAAAGGGGAAAAAUAUUAUUCCCAGGAGGCAAUCAAUCCUCAGGGCCGUGAACUCUGGCCAUGGCACCAGCUCCAUUUCUGCAGUGAAAUGGGGAUGUGUCAUGCAGAAACAUGAGUGGGACUGGCGAAGGUCUGGAGGCCAAGUCAGAAUUUCCAGGCUGCCCCCCCUAUGUGUCCCACAGUCACCUUGGAGUCUGGUCUGCAGCCUGGCUUUUUGCUAUUUGAGACUCACAUUUUCCCAUACCCUAACAUGGAGGCUAGCAUAGUGCCUGAUACUUCGUAAACGCUUGAUCAAUAUUCUGGAAGGAAGACUUUGACAAAUGUUCUAAAGGCACCUUAUCUGUUCCAGAUGCUAGGGAUUCAGCAGUGAACAAAAUGAACUAAAAAUAGAACUACCAUUGGAUCACCAAUCCUGCUAUACGGUAUCCACCCAAAAGAAAGGAAACCAGUGUAUAAAAGAUAUACCUGCACUCUAUGUUCAUUGUGGCUCCAUUCACAAUAGCAAAGAUAAGAAAUCAACCUAAGUGUCCAUCAGAGGAUGGCUGGUUAAAGAAAAUGUGGUACAUAUACCCAAUGGAAUACUACUCAGCCAUGAAAAAGAAUCAUGUCUUUUGCAGCAACAUGGACAGAGCUGGAGGACAUCACUAAAUCAUGUGCACACAUGGACAUAGAGAAUAAAAUAAUAGACGUUAGAGACUCGGAAAGGUGGGAGGGUGCGAGGAGGGCGACAGAUGAGAAAUGAUCUAUUGGGUACAAUGGUCACCAUUUGGGUGGCAGGUACCCUAAAAGCCCAGACUUUACCACGAUGCCAGACAUCCAUGUAACAUGUAACAAAACUGUAAAAAAAAGUUUGUAAAAAUCGGAAAAUUUAAAAAAGUUCCCUAAAUCUAUAAAAAUUUAAAAAUGGACAAAAAUUCUUGUUCUGAUGAUUCCUAAAAAAUUACCUCCCUUGACACAUUCUCUUUCUCCCUCAUACAUUCUAUUACAUUUCUGUAUUUCUACCAAUUAAUUUGUUUUUUCUUCCCUUCAAGAAAUAAACAACAAAACAUCUUUUUAAAGCGACUAUUCUUGGUCAGGUCAAUAAACGUAAAUGAACAUGGCCAGGUGUGGUGGUGCAUGCCUGUAAUCCCAGCAUUUUAAGAGGCAGGAGGAUUGCUUGAGCCCAAGAGUUGAAGACCACCCUGGGCAACAUGGUAAAACCCUGUCUCUACCAAAAAAAAUACAAAAAAUUAGCUGGGCAUAGUGGCGUGCACCUGUGGUCUCACCUAUGUAGGAGACUGGGGUGGGAGGAUUGCUUGAGCCCAAGAGAUUGAGGCUGCAGUGAGCUGUGAUCAUGUCACUGCACUCCAGCCUGGGUGACAGAGUGAGACCAUGUCUCAAAAUAAAAUAAAACAAAACAAAAUAAAGGACUGCAUCUUCUAAGAGACACAGGCUGUGAUGGAUAAAUGAGGGAGAUGAAGCUGCAGUUCUCAGGAAGCUCGAAGUCAGUCCUUGGAUGCUUUUGGCUCAACCUGGUUUUAAAAAAUGAAAAAAUGUAUGAGCUUCUAGAAGAGAAAAUCCAGAGGUAGGGCUGACCUUCAGGGUAGCAGCAGUGGCUCUCGGAGGUCAUAAGGAAACAGCCGCUGCUUUUUUUUUUUUUGAGACAGGAUCUUGUUCUGUUACUCAGGUGAAAGGGCGGUGACACGGUCAUGACUCAGUGCUCAGCCUCAUGAGGAUCAAGUGAGCUGAGACCCAGGUGCACACCAUCAUGCCUGGCUAAUUCUUACAUUUUUUCAGUAGAGACAAAGUCUUCCUAUGUUGCCCAGGCUGGUCUUGAACUCUUGGGCUUAUGGGAUCUUCCUGCCUCAGCCACCCAAAGUGCUGCAAUUACAGGUGUGAGCAACUACGCCCCGCCAGAAGCAGCAGCUUGUCUGUGUUCUUCACCCUGCCUGUUGCAGUGUUGAUUUUAACCUAAAACUGGCUCUCAUCACGGUUCUGGAACAGCUGCCAGUGGAGCCACGUGUUCCCUCAUUGUGCCUGAUGGGAGGGAGGCUGGCUUUCCACGGCCUUCAGAGUGAGAAAUACCUUGCUGGAGGCCUGCAGUAAAUCUCUGCCCAGGUCCAACUGGCGAGCACUGGGUUCCUUGUCCAUUUCUGAACCAACCACUGUCCAUGGAAUUAGGAUGCCUUUUUACCCUGCGGUGGAUGCCAGUGCCCCAACUCAUAAGGGAGGGAUGGAACGCAAGUCAUUCUGUAACAGUCUAGAUCUAAAGCUGACCUUUAUCUGUCUUCUCAAAGCCUUCCCUCUGGGCCUGGUGGUCUCUGUGAGACAAAUGUUUUCCUCUUUCUCAUUUCCCAGGAGUGGGCUGUGUGUCCUCUCUCCUCCCAACUGCUGAUUCCGGAACUUUUUGUUUUCCAAAACCACAUGCUCCUUUGAAACUGAUGCCUUUAUUCCUCCCUCCGCGGUGCCCUCGUCACCUAGCAAACUCCUUGUCAUGCCCGUUCUCUGUUGUUUAAGUUCUCAGUUUUUCUUUGUAUUCUUUCUUCUAAUCUCAUUCCCUUUUAAUUCAAUAAACAAACAAAAAAAUGUGACCCAACAUUCUGCUUCCCAGUUUUUGCCUUUGCUUAUUUUUUAAACUUCCCUUCUCCAGAGUGAUCCUGUCCUUCCCUAGAGCUCAGCCAUGUACUCUCACUGUCUUAUUCUGGGUCUUCUCAGCAGAAGAAACUGCAUCUCUUUUGGAACGUUGAUUUUAAAUGCCCUGGGUUGUGGCUACCACCUUCUCCGCUUCUAGCUCAUUUACUCUAAACAGUGGUUCUCACCCAGGUGCAAGUCCUCUCCGUCAGCAGACAUUUUUGGUUGUCAUAUCUCAGGGCAGGUGCUACUAGCAUCCGGCAGAUUGAGGCCAGGGACACUGCUAACCAGCUUACAAUGCCCAAGGCAGGCCCCACAAAAAUCAUCUGUCUUCAAAUGUCAACAGGGCCAAGGUUGAGAAACCCUGCUCUGAAACUUCAAAUACAACAGUAUUUUGAAUAUAAAACGAUUGUAGAUCCAUUGACAUCACAUCUUUCUUAUUAAACACUGGCCCCUUCUGCUCUGAUUUCCUUAGAGUAAAUGACCCAUCAUAAUUAUGCCCAGGCAAAUGCCCUCUUCUUAAGCUCAUUUGCACUCACCAGGCAAAAAUCGCUCACCCACCCAAACCUGGUUGAACCCAACGAUCUACUUUCUUUGUGCUUGGACUGGACUACUAACUAUUAUUUGAGAAACUCACACCUUGCACUAACUGGCUUCACAAUAAAUUACAAACCUGACUGGGCUCAACUCUAUGUAGAAAUUCUGCAGUGCCUGCCUGGAGGCAUCCCAGCAUCCAAGACGGCCACGUUCCUGGCUGAUCCUUCUCCUUUGCUGAUUCUGCUCCACUUCCUGGCUUUGAAUCAGACAUUCCCAGGGCUUCCACUCAAGCCCUCUUCUCUUUCUCUUCAUUCUGCUCUUUCUGCCUCUAUUUAUUUCCAUGCCCUAGAAACACUCUCCGUGUAACUGGGACUUCCAAAUGCCUGUCUUUAAUCCAGUGCUUUCCCCUGGGUGCUAGUCUGUUAAAUCAUCUGUUGACAUAUUCAGCUGCGGACUCACAGGUGACCCAAGCGGGACGUAUCCCAUGUGAAUUUCAAAUCUGCCUUUCUGUUCCAUCUAAAAUUUCUCUCCCAGUGUUCUCCAUUUCUGAGGAUUGACCCUGUCACUGUUUAUCUCAUUACUAGAGUCCCAGACCUGGGAGUGUACCCUCAAUGUCUCCAUUUCCCCCACCAGUCUCCUUCCAUCACACAUUCGGGAUUUGGCGAGCCCCGUGGAUUCCACCUUCAAAAGAGCCAUAUCUCAAAUCCAUCUACCACUCGUCACCUCUGUUGCCAUCCCCCAACAGUCCACCAUUAUCUCUCCUGUCUCAUGAUAAUGAAGUCCUAAAUGGCUUCCCUGCGGCCACUCUUGACCAUUGUAGUCCACUCUUCACCCAGCAGCCUGAAUGAUCUUUGAACAGUGUCAAUCACAUUAUCUCACUUUCUUGCUUAAAACUUGCCAAUGACUUCCUACCAUGCCUCAAAUUCCAGUGUAGCCUUCCCUUACCUCCCUCUCAAGUCACAAUGGCUCCCAUCCUCCCUUGCUCCUGAUGCUCCAGUAAUGCUGAUAUGCUUUUCAGAUCUUAGAACAUGUCGAACUCGUUGAACCUCAGGGUCUUUAAUGGACUUUCCUUUCACCUGGAUUAGUCUUCCUUGGUCUCCUCUCAUAGCAUGAAUUUCUCAUCCCUUGAAACUCAGCUUGAGUGUCGUCUGAGAGACGCCUUGCUGUCCACCUCCUCUAAGAUGUGUCUGACCCAUUAGUCUCUGUCGUGACUCUUUUUUUCCCUAUGAGUAAAAAUUCUGAUAAUCCUGGUUAUUUUAUUUACUUGUUUAUUGUCAGUAUUUGCCAUUACAAUGUAAGUACCCUGGGGACAGACCCUGGUCAGUCAGGUUCACGUCCCCAGGACCUCAGACCAUCUGGUACAUAGUCGGUACUUAGCAGGCGCCUGUUGAGUGAAACGGAUGAGUGAAUGUGAGCCCCUCUGUGGAUCACACAUCAUCUUGGAGGCCUUUAAAACCUUGCACAGCAUAUUCCCUUGGCCUUCCUGUCUCUUCAUCACUUAGCUCAUGUAUUAGGGUUCUCCAGAGAAGCAGAACCCACUGGAUAUACCUGAUUCUAUAUCCAUAGAUAGAUCAGAGAUUUAUUUUGGGAAUUGGCUUAUGCAGUUACGGAGGCCGGGAACUCUAAAGAUCUUUUGUCUGCAAACUGGAGAACCGCAAAAGCCAGUGGUGACUUCAGUUCAAAGUACCAAGUCCCGGGAACCAGGAAAGCCGAUGUCGUAACUCCCAUCUGAGGCUGAAGGCUCGAGAAGGAAGAGUUUCAGUGUCCACAGGCAGACAGAGAGAACAAAUUCUCCCUUCCUCCGCCUUUUUGUUCUACCCAGGCCCUCAACGGAUCGGGUGACGCUGUCUUCACCGGCGAGCAUGAUCUUCAUCAGUACAGUCUACUGAUUUCUUCGAGAAAUAGCCUCAUAGACACAGCUAGAGAUAAUGUUUUGUCAGCUAUCUGGACACCCCUUAGCCCAGUCUAAUGACACAUGAAGUGAACCAUCACAACCCAUAUCAUUAAGACUUGGCUCCAACAUCAGUUCUCCUAUCCCCAUUGCAGACCAACUCUGGAACUUCUGUAGCUCUGGAGCUCACCUUGACCACAGCACUUCCCCUAUUCCACGGUGACUGUGGCUUUGGCAGUCUCUCCCACUUUGUCAACUGCUUUGGGGCAGUGCCCUGCAUUUUAUAUCCGCACGAAGCAAUUCAAACGAGCAGUCUGAAACUGAAAGGAUGAUUCAAAUAUGGAGUUACCAGCGAAGAGUUUCACUGUCACUCUCCUCCCCGCUCCACUGCCCGGACGAGGAAGUGUGGAAAUGUGUCUGGCUCCAUCCGAGAGACUAGGUAACUCAGAGACCAUGGAAGUUCAUCCACAUUAACUGCACGCAUGCAGCAAAGCUGUGUCCUGAAAGCAUCUUCGACGUAGGAACCUUCUGGCCUAGAACCCUUCCCCUUCUCACGCCUACCAACCCCGUGGGCAAAUCUACGCAUGUGCAAUGCUUGGAGGGGAUGUUCACGAUGUCCACAAGUUGUCUUCAGAAGACAGUCUUUCCUGUGAAUUUUAACACGGAACGUACACAAUUGCUUACGGACGGGACUUUGCUCAAACAGUGGGAACCUCUUUAACGUCUAGAAAGAGUAGCUUUGUUGACCACGUAUGCUACACGCGCAGCAAAGUGAGACAAAACGCAGACCUGCGAGACACCGGUGAAUCCGGCCUCUCCAUAGGCACGCUGGCGGGAAGCCCACUGGCACCUGCUCCUUUCUGCUCUUCCCUAGACCAGAACGGAAAGACACGUGCCUGUCCAAAGAGGUGGUUUGGCCAUUCCAUUGCCCAAAGACAACGUUUCAUGUGGAUUUUAAUAAAAAGAUAUUUGGAAAAUAUGUCCCAUUGCUACAUCUACUUUUAAUAUAUACCAACCGGUACUUCAGGACAUCAAGAAAAAUUACAUAUCAGAAAAAGGAACACGGCAAGGCCAACUACAUCCACGUUGGUGAAGAAUAGAAAGUGGAGGCAGGACGUGGUUGGGAAAUGAAAAAGUCCUCUCAACAUGACUGACUGGGCAUAGAACCCUUCUUCUGAACUCAAUCCAAGCUCAGCUUCCGCAUAAAUUCAGGGUGUGCAUGGACUUCCUAGAGCUUAUUCAUGAACUCUCCAGAGUCUAAGUUAAGAACCUCUCUACUUAGGAAUUUUCUGUCUUUUCCUGAUUCCACAGUUACUUCACUGAAGAAGAGAGGACUUUGUUGAAGUCUUCUCAGGCUUUCUGCACAGGGCUCUGGCCUUGGAGAAAGGAUUUCCAUUACUGAAGUGUCACUUGGCCCUGGGUCUCCUCCUGGGAGAGAGAAGGGUACAGCUCCCAAGGUUCCUGGCAGUUUUGAAAGAGCUCUCAGCUACAGCCAGCUUUACUUUGGCAAGUGAGGCCAUCCCCUUUCUUUCCUCCUUUCCUUUCCCAUGGAACCUACUCCUUCCAUCUGUCUUUCAAGCUCUGCCUUAGCAAUGGCAAUUCAAGCCUUAUUUUCUCCUUGAAUGCACUCUCUAAGUGAAAGAGGCUUUUCACCAAGAAUGUGGUGCUGGUGUUUCUCUUGCCAAUGGGUUAAACAAAGACCUCCAAGCUGGGUAACAUUUGGGCAGGCCUCUUCACACAUGCCUGUCCUUCUCCGUCCCACUUGGCAAAAGCCAACAACCUACGUGUGAAAAGUAUAAAGAGAUGGAAAAAUUCCCAUGAAAAAUCCUUCCCCAAAGCAAUUGCAAGACAACUGUAGCAUCAUCUGAUAAAAUUAUUUCUAUUUUGCAGCCGUUUCAUUGUUGGAGGCCACUCAGGGUUGCCAGCCUGCAGGUACAUAGGUAAAAAUUAUAAGUGAAUGCAUCUGCUCAGGUUAUUGCCACUGAUUUUUAAAUAAUCUGAAGUUUGAGAGUCUGUUAAUAACCCAUAUGUGCUGAGAGCAUCCACAGACCUAAUAGCAUAAAUAUUAAUCACCUCUUUUCUGCAGAGUAGCAAGUAAGAAACUAGGAAGAGCUGUUUCACUUCCAACUUGUUCCUUAAGGGCCUUAAAGUUGGUAGUCGUUCUUGUCUGGGCUCCCUAAUGCCACGUUCAAUCAACGAGAAAAGAAAUAUGCACAAAAUCAGCACCCAAAUACCCCGGUGCCAGCCUGUGCCCAUGCUCCGGCAACGGCAGCUACCCACGCAGCAGGACUGAGCCAGGUCUAAGGUUAGCAGCGCCCCAGCUCCUCAGGUUUCUGCACAUUGACUCACAACAGAAUCAAAACUCCAGAGCUAAACUCUCUGGUUUCUUCUGCUUUUUCUUCUGCAAUUUUCUGUUUAUUUUUUUAAAACUUUUUUUAUUGGCAACCAUGAAAGAGAUAUUCACAAGACUCACAGCAAGGUCAGAGACCCCAAACAGAUGGUUUUCCCUUAAUUCAUCAAGCUGGAGCAGAAUUUAAACCAAGCUGGAGGAGUCACUCCGCCUCCGGCCACAACCUCAUCUGUACAUCCUGGGCUUCAUCGCAUUGGCUGGAAGCUGGUUUGCUUCUUCCAAGGGCCUUCUUUGAGGGCAUUCAUGGCUCCUGCAAGUUUGAGCAUCACUCGCUCCUGGCGCUGGCAGUGCCACUCAGCCAUGGAUGGGAACUCACUUGGUUUGGAGCUCGUACAAAUGAGAACCGUAAACCGCAACCUCGGUGAGGUCUGAAGACUCCAGAGCCUUCAGCUCAGGCACAGCCUUGCUCACCUGCUCAAUGUAAGGGAUUCCUCCCUCCCCAACCUCGAGAGAGUCAGAGACAGCUCUACCACCUGGUGGAGGAGAAAGCUGACCCCUGGUGUGCUUCCAGGAUGCGAGACGCUCUUGAAGCCUAACACUCUCUUUCAGUGAUAUCACUCACAUUUCCCUGAAGCUGUGUUCUUGAGUUGCAUAGCGCAUUGUUAGCAACGAUUUUUUAAAAACAUUUCUUUUAGAGAUGCGAUUUUGCCAUGUUGGCCAGGUUGGUAUCAAACUUCUGGGCUCAAGUGAUCCACCCUCCGCAGCUUCCCAAAGUGUUGGGAUUACAGGCUUGAGCCACCAUGCCCAGCCCAACAACUAUGAAAACCCUUGUGACUCCAAAGAAUGAGACUGAACACCAACCUGUGAUGCCAGAACAAGCACUCCACAUGCCAACAGAGAGCCCUAGUGAGGAGUCAGGGUCAAGACCGGGGGAGGAAAUUCUCCUCCCUUCCGCUCUCUCUCCCUCACUCCCUCCCUUCCUUUCUCUUCCUUCGCUUUCUUUCUUUUGCUUGCUUUCUUUCUCUUUCUUUCUUUUUUCUUUCUUUCUCUUUCUUCUCCCUCCCUCCCUCCCUCCCUCCCUCCCUCCCUCCCUCCCUCCCUCCCUCCCUCCCUUCCUUCCUUCCUUCCUUCCUUCCUUCCUUCCUUCCUUCCUUCCUUCUCUCUCUCUCUUUCAUGGUUUUACUCUGUCACACAGGCUGGAGUACAGUGGUGCAAUCACAUCUCACUGCAGCCUCUACCUCCCAGGCUCAAGAAAUUCUCUCACCUCAGCCUCCCAAGUAGCUGGGACCAAAGGAUCAGCAAUGCUUCUGAUAGGGGUUGCCGCUCAGUUCCAGGUGUGGAGAGGAGGCUGCGCUGGCUUGACAUGGACACCGACGUGAACUAGAAAUGAGCUGUUUAUUGUGUGGGUCGUUGUGAUUUCUUACCGUGGUGUGGCCCAGCCUGUCCCGCCUCUUACAACAACGGAUGUUUUCCCUACACUGCAGUCCGUCCUCUGGGAUGUGUCCGCCCUGAGAAGAAGGCAAACAUGUGCCCAGCUAAAAGCCUGUAUUUCAGUGUCCCUCGCUGGACGUGUGGCCAAGGAGAUUGGGAUGACUGGAGCUCCAGCAGCCAUCUUGUGCCCAUGAGGUGAAUUCUAGAGAACAAAAUCCCACAGCUGAAGGUGGUGGAGCACAAUGAUAUGAGGAACCUGGUUCCCGCUGACAAAGUGGAGCCCUCCUAUGCUCCCUGGUCAUCUAUCCUCAGACCGUGCCGUGUGAAAGAAAGUCAUCCCCUAAUGUGACUCAGCCAUGCUUACUUUGGGUCUCUGCUUACAGCAGACAAAAGCCAUUUCUAGAUCAUUCAGGAGACUAGGCAGUUCAGGCUAGCCUGCUUGCAAGACAAGCUUUCUCAGCUGAGCUUAGGUCUUCACAGAGGACUCUUAUUUAGGGAAUUAGAGAAAAACUCAAAGCAAAGAGGAAUCUAGAUGAAAGUGGAUUGUGGUGAAAGCUGAACAGUCAAAAAUAAACAGCAGCGUUGGCAACAAAACGCGCUUGUUCAGGCUGCUCAAACACUUCAGAGUCCUAUUUCCUCAGAAUCGGGAUUGAGAAUGACCUUAAAUAUCAUUUAAUCUGUUUAGCUCCGCUCCCCUCUUUUCUCUCUUCCCCUUUUCUCAGCCACAGAAAAUCAGAGUUCUUCUGUUUGUGCCUGCUUGCCUUUGGCUGCCCAUAUCUGAGCAAAGUUGCUCCAUAUGACCCUGUGAGAUUGGCAGAUCACAAGAUUUGUCCCAUUUCAUUCAAUGCCAGAUCCCAGAAGUAGCAACUCUUCUUUUGCUGAUGCCAAUCCAUCUAUUCGUCUAUCUCUCCAUCCAUCUAUCUACUUAUCCAUCCAUCCAUGCAUCUACCCAUCCAUCGAUCCAUCCGUCUUCAACUAUCCCUCCAUCCACUUAUCCAUCCAUCCAUCCAUCUGCCCAUCCGUUCAUCCAUCCAUCCAUUUGUCCAUCUGUCCAUCAAUCCAUUCAUCUAUCCAUCCAUCUUCCCAUCUCUCCAUCCAUCCAUCCAUCUUCAUCUAUCCAUCCUUCCAUCUACUUAUCCAUCCAUCCAUCUAUCCAUCGAUCCAUCUUCAUCUAUCCAUCCAUCCACUUAUCCAUCCAUCCAUCCAUCCAUCCAUUCGUCCAUCUGUCCAUCGAUCCAUUUGUCUAUCCAUCCAUCUGUCCAUCCAUCCAUGUAUCUUUUUUUUUGAGACAGAGUUUCGCUCGUUACCCAGGCUGGAGUGCAAUGGCGCGAUCUCGGCUCACCACAACCUCCACCUCCUGGGUUCAGGCAAUUCUCUUGCCUCAGCCUCCUGAGUAGCUGGGAUUACAGGCACACGCCACCAUGCCCAGCUAAUUUUCUUUUGUAUUUUUAGUAGAGACAGGGUUUCACCAUGUUGACCAGGAUGGUCUCGAUCUCUUGACCUCGUGAUCCACCUGCCUCGUCCUCCCAAAGUGCUGGGAUUACAGGCUUGAGCCACCACGCCUGGCCCCAUGUAUCUAUUUUCUCUGUCUCUCAAUCAUCUAUUUAUUGGUUAUUUUAGGCACUGCAGCUACACAAUUUAAAUCCAUAAUCUUCACAAGAACCCUGUGAGCCUUGUUAUCUCCAUUCCACAAAUUAAGAAAUGAGGCUACAGAUAUUGAAGUAAUUUGCCUAAGGUCAAAGAGCUAAAUGCAGGAUAGGAUUUGGAAGUGUCUACACGGUUCCAAAGAACCUGACGCACUGAACCGCUUUGCUAGGCUGGCUCGUCAUGAGUUACAUUUCCACAUGACAGGAAAAUAGAGAAUUCAUUGCAGCCAACACACACUGAUUGCACGGACAUAAAACAGAUCUUAUGAAAACAUUUAUUUGAUGGACUUUCAGGUAAAAGACUUUGUGCACAACCUAUCAUGAUAUACUCUGGUCUCAAAAACUUGCUUUAAAAGCCCAUAAAAAAAGGUGUGAUGUUAAAAGUCAUUGGGUCAGAUGUUAAAAGUCAUCUUAUCUGCUUGCCUCCUCACUGGCUAAAUGUCUCAUCUCAAACAGCGGGUAGGAGGACAUCAUCAGAGUGGCAGAUCCUAAUGAAAUGGCCAAUAGAAAUCGACCCUUGUUAGAUUGUGCCUUUUUAUAGCAAUUCAAAUAUAUUCACCUUUCAAAUCAUGUCUUUUCCAGGUAUUAUAACCACAUCGGAGAAAGCCAGGUUAGCCCGUGUUUUAGAGGAUGGUCCUUUUCUGGAUAGCAGGCUAUAAACUCGUCCUAUGGCAGAGGUUAGCGUAUAUACUCUUGGCCCUUGAAAGGAUGUGGUAUUUUGGUGUUGACCUUCAAAUCAACCCUGAUGUUCCAUAAUACGUAGUUAUUUUAAAUUUUGCAGAGGUACAGAUUCAAGGGCCAUCUGAGAUGAAAUAUUUGGCUAAUGAGGAGGCGAGGGCAUUAGCACCUGUAAAGCUCCUCAGGUGAUGAAACGUUGUUAAAAGUACAGAUAGCAAUUUGGUAAGAGACAAAAACUUAAUGAAAUUUGCAAAGACAAUUACCUUGUGGGAUGGGGAUAUUUAUAGGAAUGGUGGGCAGAGGCUGGCGGGGAAAGCCAGGAACCUGGAGAAUCCUUAGGAUCCAGUCAUUUACAGCUCCCCCAGGUCUGGGAAGACAUUAUUUCCCAGUUCCCAAGGGGCCAUUCACUCUGAUUUGGAAAAAAAUCAUUUAGGAUUAGCAUAAAAAUGGUGAAACUUGUGUUCGCGCUAGCAGCACAUACACUAAACAGUGACGAAACUUGCUCAUCAACCUGACCCUUUAGGCAUAGCUAAAUAUUACCACACACCAUAUUAUACUGUCAUAAUUUCCCACCAUUUUUUGUUCCUCAGAAUAAGGCAACAUAUAAAUAUUCUAUAUUAUUGGUUUUGUGUGUGUGUGUGUGUGUGUGUGUGUGUUUUGAGACAGGAUCUCACUGUCACCCAGGCUGGAAUGUAGUGGUGCCAACAUGGCUCGCUGCAGCCUUGACCUCCUGGGCUCAAGUGAUCCUCCCACCUCAGCCUUCCAAGUAGCUGGGACUACAGGCAUGCACCACAAUGCCCAGCUAAUUUUUAAGAUUAUUUUGUAGAGACAGGAUCUUGCUAUGUUGCCCCGGCUUGUUUCCAGCUCCUAGCCUCAAGUGAUCCUCCCCCAUCAGCCUCCCAAGGCACUGGCAUGAGCCACUGUGCCAGCCUAUGUUGUUUAUUUUUGCUGCUUCUGUUGGGGAAGAAUUUGGUGUUUUAUCUGAGAGAGGUGACAGGAACCUUGGCCAGAUGCCACCUCUAGAAAGUCAGUGUCCUUCUGUUGGUGCCUGCUUGCCUCAUAGCUGCCCAUAUUGGAGCAGAGUUGCUCAUUUGCUUCUCUAGGCGCAUCUUGUGUGGAAUCUCAGGCCCCAGACAGCAGGCCUGCAAAUUACACAGUCAGCAGCAAGGCAGCAGUGAUCUAUGGAAGAGAUUCAAAUCCAGAGAAAAAAAACGGGAGCCUCUAACUGCAUCUGAAAAUCAGCGAGAAAGAGCCGGAGUCCUGCGAAACAGUGCAGCGGGCCCUUCAGCAUUGGCUCUUUCUGCUCAAACCUGUCACCACUCACACAGGAGUGGUCAUUGAAACAAGGGAUUUCUCCUCAGGUGAAUGACAAAGAAACAGAUUUGGAUUUGCUCAGGCAUCUGGAGAGGAGGGUGCCUUCCCCACUUUUAUUUUUUGAGAUGGGAGUUUUGCUCUUGUUGCCCAGGUUGGAGUGCAAUGGCGUGAUCUUGGCCCACUGCAACCUCUGCCUCCAGGGUUCAAGUGACUCUCCUGCCUCAUCCUCCUGAGUAGCUGGGAUUACAGGGGCGUGCCACCAUGCCCAGCUAAUUUUGUGAUUUUAGUAAAGACAGGGUUUCUCCAUGUUGGUCAGGCUGGUCUCGAACUCCCGACCUCAGGUGAUCCGCCUGCCUCGGCCUCCCAAAGUGCUGGGAUUACAGGCAUGAGCCACUGCGCCCGGCCAGAGGGUGCACCUUGACUUCGCCCUCCACUGUGCAGGAGGGGGGUGCCUGGAACAUUGCCACCACAGCGAGAGUCUUCACCUACCACCCUCCAGCCCCGUCCCUUUCUGCCACCUCUGCAACUUUUCCAGUUAAAUUUUAAAAAAGUAAAAGUGGGGACAAGAAUGACCUGCCUGCCUGUGUUUGGCCCUUUUUCUGAGUUUUUGUGUUCUGUUUGAAAUCAAACUUAUGUUUUCUUCUGAAAUGAAUGACAGGGAGAGAAAGAAGCAAAAGCCACCCAGGCUUGAAAAGUGGUAGCUUCUUGCCGCCGGCUUCCUGCCGGCGCCAAGCCAGGGGGAGCUCCGCGUGUCCUCAGCUCACCCUUGCUGGGCCACGCUGCAUGCAAACAAGAAGCUGUUUCAGUGUCUGCCCAUCUGAGACGCUGACAUGAAAAAGGAAGAAAGAAAGGAAAAAACCACCAUCACCAGCAAUAAAAAAAACCCCAAGACUGAUGAAUUCUCAUAGAUUGCAGCAAAGCAGGGGGCCUGGUGGAGACACAUCCUGUUAUGCUGUUUAGGUUGUCCCCCAAGCCGAUAAGCUCCCUCGUGAAUGGCACCAGUUGUGAGGGGUGACAAAGAAUUCAAAACACUCACAGGACAAUUUUCCGAACCCUGGGUCUCUCGGAAUGCUCUUUUUUAGGCUAAUUGGUUUUGAUGGAAACUAUGCCCGCUAGGCCUAUUUUUAGGCCAGAUUUGAAGUCAGUGCAGUUGCUAUUUGAUCUUGCACGAACUACGGAGAUGUCACCAGCAGCUUUGCUAAUUAAGAGCUGUGGCCUGGUGGGAUGUUGACCUGAAGCCAGGGCUCCAGCACAAGUAUCUCUGUUGUGACUUGCGUCUGUUCUUUUGUUUUGUUUUGUUGAGACGGAGUCUUGCUCUAUUGCCCAGGCUGGAGUGCAGUGGCAGGAUCUCAGCUCAUGCAAACUCCGACUCCCAGGUUCAAGUGAUUCUCCUGCCUCAGGCUUCCGAGUAGCUGGGAUGACAGGUGCCCGCCUCCACACCCAGCUAAUUUUUGUAUUUUUAGUAGAGAUGGGGUUUCACCAUGUUGGCCAGGAUGGUCUCGAUCUCUUGACCUCAUGAUCUGCCUACCUUGGCCUCCCAAAGUGCUGGGAUUAUAGGCGUAAGCCACUGUGCCACAGCAGGGGUUGGCUUGGGCAAUGAGAAAAUGGCAUUGCUUUUGUGCCCACUCUGACCCGGGCACAAAGUCACCCCAUUUACCAAACCUCAGUGCUCUGAGACAGCAUAGGAUUCCCUAGCAGGUUGUCCAGUCUUUUCCUGGAACCACUGUCCAUUUACCUCCUUGAGUCGUCUGGGCAGUAAAAGGUGGCCUCCUGCCCAGUCACUGCAGUGUGAUCUCCCUGCUGUGUCACGCGUGGCUUCUGCCCUCUUCCCUGGCACCUCUGCCACUCCAGGUUAGGCCUGUGCUGCUGCCCCUUCUAUGCCCACCUGGAAAGCCCGAAAGCUUCUUGUGCCUUCUACUUCAGCUAGGGAGCUUCUUACCAUGUCUCAUAGCCAGCUUCUCCAGAGGGGACUCUCAGAGCUGACUGUACUUCCCUACCCCAGCCUCUUUGUCCUGGGAUGGGGUCAAAAUAGGAACAGUCACAGCUUCAUGCUUUCAGGAAACCACUUUCUCUUCCAUCUUCUUUGGCCUGCUCCGACAGCCAGACUUCUUAAAAAUAUUUUCCUACAGGCUCAUGCAAAUAGGGGAUAUGGCUGAGCAUCUGUUUCCAAGUCCUAACACAGGUUAUGAAAGCCCAGAAUCAUGCUGCCCGGGUAGCAGAUUCGUUUAGCCAGAACACACCCAGAGGACCUACUCAUGAUGGUGUGGCUGAAUUCCACAUGCUCCUAACAAUGUCCGGCCCUGACCUGACUCCCAGUACUGAUUCCCAGGGAGGGCAUAAUGGAGAGCCCGUCUUUGGGGCGGAAGAUGAUUUGUGCACAAGAGUCAAAUUCAGGUUGUGUGUUGUGGGUAUAGAAAUGGCAAUGCCCAGUUGUCUGUUAGGUAUAUGGGUCUGCUGUACAGGAGAAAAAUCAGAACAGAAUUUCUAUUUGGAGUAUUUCUUUUAGAGGCUGGGGAACUGAAACCACAGGCAAGUAAGAAUGUAUAAGGAACCAGACAAUCUUCAUGAAACAGCUGCUCCAGAUUGGUGUCAGGAGCUGGACAAGGGGAUCCAAGAAUGUCUUGUCAUAUGAGCCAUUGUCAUAUAAACAAAAAGCCAGGGUGUUCUGGCCCUCAUGGAGUUUUGAUUCUAGCAGAUAUAGACAUUAAUCAAAUAAUCCCCAGAGCAAAGUAUGAUAAGUAUAGAGAAAGGAAAAAUAUACAGAACUUUUAACAGCUAAGACCUGAGAAAGCUGACCAGUCUGCAAACAGGUUCAGCUUCCCUAGGGAAGUGACUUUGGAGCUGUGGUGAUGGGUGACUCAGAGUUAACCAAGUUAUGGGAGGAGGGAGGAGGAGAUGGGGAAGACUUUUCGGGCAGAAGCCAGAGCAUGUGCAAAGAUCCAGUGGCAAGAAGCAGCCUGGUGCAGGGGAGGAACGGAGAGACAUACAGGCUGGCUGGAGUGCAGAGAGGGAGACGGGCAGGGAGGUGGUUGGACAGGGAAGCAGGGAUCAGAUCAUGAGGCCUUGGAGAAGCAGGAAGGCAUCAUGGUGACUAAUGUCAGAGGCAGGGGAGGACAAGCAGGGACAGACAGGGACACAGAGCUGGGAAGAUGCUAAAAUGCAGCAGUUCGUGCUUGGAAAGAUUGUGGCCUGGUUCUUCCAUUGCCGUGAUUGGUUGUUUCUCUCCCAUAUUGUUUUUCUAAUUUGUUUUGACUAAUGGAGAAGAUCAGGAGCUCAAAAGAUAGAGGUUGUUUACAGCACUCAGUUUGGCUGAGCUGCCGUAGGUUAAUGGGUUUAGACUCUUUAAGGGGAUUAGGCUUUUGCUCAGAGACCAGUGGAGUAUUCUAACCAGCCUAUCUUGUGAAGGUGGUACAUUAAAAAGUAGGUUUGUGGCCGGGUGCGGUGGCUCAAGCCAGUAAUCCCAGCACUUUGGGAGGCCGAGGUGGGUGGAUCACGAGAUCAUGAGAUCAAGACCAUCCUGGUCAACAUGGUGAAACCCCGUCUCUACUCAAAAUACAAAAAAUUAGCUGGGCAUUGUAGUGCGUGCCUGUAAUCCCAGCUACUCGGGAGGCUGAGGCAGAAUUGCCUGAACCCAGGAGGCGGAGGUUGCGGUGAGCCGAGAUUGCGCCAUUGCACUCCAGCCUGGGUAACAAGAGCAAAACUCCGUCUCAAAAAAAAAAGUAGGUUUGUCUGACUUACCAAAUUAAAAUGUGGUGCAUCAAGUUAAAUUUGAAUUUCAGAUAAAUAACAGCUAAUUUUAGAUGUGUCAGAUAAAGAAUGAAUAUGUUUUUAGUACAAUAUGGGAUAAUGAAUAUUUUCAGAUAAAUAGAUGCCCUGUAUUCUGUGUGGCAAACAUAACUAGAGAAUCAAUGUUAGUGAUCAAACUGAGAAGACUUUUGAGAAAUUAUCAGCAGUAAAUACAAAUAUACAUUUCCAUCCAUCCAUCCAUCCAUCCCUGUUGAGAUCCAACUAUGUGUCAGACACCUUUUGGGGUUUGAGGGUAUUGUAAUCAAUAAGACAGACAAACUCCCUGCCCUCAUAGUAUUUACAUUCCAGGAGAAAAAUGUUCAUCUUAGAGAGGUUGUAACAAACAAAUCUUCAGAAAUAACUGUUACAUCCAAAAUAGAGGAAUGUAAAAAUAAAUCAUAAUAUGAUGGGCUAAGUCGCAGCCAUUACAAAAAUCCUGUUUUGAGGGCUAUUAAAUGUUAUGGUGAAUUGAUUCCAAUAUAAAACCAAAUAAAAUAAAAGCUCUGCAAAACUAUGCAUCAGGUAUCAUGUAAAUUUUAUAAACCACAAUUACAAGACCACCUCAAUAUCUAGAAAAAUACACCAAAGGUGGCCGCAUCUGAGGGCUAGAAUUAUUCAUAACAUUUUAUUAUUUACAUUUUUAUUUUCUUUUUCACACUUUCUAUAAAGAAUUAUGAAUGAUUUUUAUAUUUAGAAAACCUUUUUUAUUCUCUUCUUCUUUUUCUGAGACAGAGUCUUGCUCUGUCCCCCAGGCUGGAGUGCAGUGGCGCAAUCUCAGCUCACUGCAACCUUCACUUCCCCUGUUCAAGCAAUUCUCCUGCCUCAGCCUCCUGAGUAGCUAGGAUUAUAGGUGUGUGCCACCACGCCCAGCUACUUUUGUAUUUUUAGUAGAGAUGGGGUUUCCUCAUGUUGGCCAGGCUGAUCUCGAACUCUUGACCUUGUGAUCCACCUGCCUCGUCUCCUAAAGUGCUAGGAUUACAGAAUGUGAGCCACCGUGCCUGGUUGAAAACCUUUUGAUAUUUGUAGACAUGUAUUACCUGUGGGCUCCACAGCAGCAUGGAAAAGACUAAAGAUUUGUGUCAGCUUUGACUUUGCCAUUAAUUAUCAGGGCUAACGUACAGCAAGUCAUGCCACUUACCUGGGCCUCACUUUCUUUGGAUUUAAUUAUGGACUAACCUCUGAUUUUCUGUGUAAUUAAGAAACAAACUAAAUUGAAAAAAAGUAUGCCUUUGUCUUAUAGAAGAGUCCAGAGACACCAUCAUUAGACUGUGUGUCUGUAAAACCCACAUACCGUAUUCUUUUGUUUUAUCUAGCUGUUAUAUUGCCUAUAACUUACUUUUAAAUAUUUUAGUAUAGACAGGUGUGUGUGCACACACAUGUGUGUGCGUUCUUAAUCCUCUGUAAGGUUGUAGCUAAAAUUUAAAGUACCUUAACUGGACACACAUCUUUUAGGAGUGGUUGGUAGUAUUUGAAGGACUACUAUCAGGCUUGAGAGUUCUAGAGGGUUCCCUAAUUAACCUAAUAAAUAUAAGAAGUUAUUCUGUGCUGGGAUAUUAAGGAGUGUUGAAGAUACGUGAGUUGGGUAGAGCUAUUUAAAGACACCCUGUCCCUGCAUGAGUAGGGUUUAGGAAUCUAGUAAUCCUGGAUUAGAAACUUAGUUUGGAGUGUGCCUAAACCAGGUAUGCCAAUCUGUCUCGUGUCCAAAUACUAACAGAGGGUUCUAGCAACUUGAUCCCAUUAGCAUGUCAGCUGAAGACUACUGCUAGAAUGCUGUUAGGUUUGUUUUGAGUUAAUAUUUCAUGGAAAUUUCUGAGCCCUGGUACUGUAUUUAAACUCACACAAAUGG